AGGACGAACGCUGGCGGCGUGCUUAACACAUGCAAGUCGAGCGGAAAGGCCCUUCGGGGUACUCGAGCGGCGAACGGGUGAGUAACACGUGAGUAAUCUGCCCCUAGCUCUGGGAUAGCUCCGGGAAACCGGGAUUAAUACCAGAUACGACCACUUUAGACAUCUGUUGUGGUGGAAAGAAUUUUGGCUAGGGAUGAGCUCGCGGCCUAUCAGCUUGUUGGUGAGGUAACGGCUCACCAAGGCGACGACGGGUAGCCGGCCUGAGAGGGCGACCGGCCACGACUGGGACUGAGACACGGCCCAGACUCCUACGGGAGGCAGCAGUGGGGAAUAUUGCGCAAUGGGCGAAAGCCUGACGCAGCGACGCCGCGUGGGGGAUGAAGGCCUUCGGGUUGUAAACCCUUUCAGCAGGGACGAAGCGAAAGUGACGGUACCUGCAGAGAAGCGCCGGCUAACUACGUGCCAGCAGCCGC
rnacentral:rRNA from 1 species